rnacentral:rRNA from 1 species
CGGGGUGAGUAACGCGUGGAUAACCUGCCUCACACUGGGGGAUAACAGUUAGAAAUGACUGCUAAUACCGCACAAGCGCACAGUACCGCAUGGUACAGUGUGAAAAACUCCGGUGGUGUGAGAUGGAUCCGCGUCUGAUUAGCCAGUUGGCGGGGUAACGGCCCACCAAAGCGACGAUCAGUAGCCGACCUGAGAGGGUGACCGGCCACAUUGGGACUGAGACACGGCCCAA